GCACUAGAAGCCGAUGAAGGACGUUACUAACGACGAUAUGCUUUGGGGAGCUGUAAGUAAGCUUUGAUCCAGAGAUUUCCGAAUGGGGAAACCCAGCAUGAGUUAUGUCAUGUUAUCGAUAUGUGAAUACAUAGCAUAUCAGAAGGCACACCCGGAGAACUGAAACAUCUUAGUACCCGGAGGAAGAGAAAGAAAAUUCGAUUCCCUUAGUAGCGGCGAGCGAAACGGGAAGAGCCCAAACCAACAAGCUUGCUUGUUGGGGUUGUAGGACACUCUAUACGGAGUUACAAAGGACGACAUUAGACGAAUCAUCUGGAAAGAUGAAUCAAAGAAGGUAAUAAUCCUGUAGUCGA
rnacentral:rRNA from 1 species